AACGAACGCUGGCGGCAUGCCUAACACAUGCAAGUAGAACGGGAAUAUCGGGGCAACUCGAUUAGUACCGUGGCGCACGGGUGAGUAAUACGUAGGUAACCUACCUAUCAUUGGGGAACAACUUCGGGAAACCGAGGCUAAUACCGCAUACGUCCUGUUAUCGUAUUGGUAGCAGGGGAAAGGUGGCCUCUUCAUGAAAGCUAUCGAUGAUAGAUGGGCCUGCGCACCAUUAGCUAGUUGGUAGGGUAACGGCCUACCAAGGCUACGAUGGUUAGCUGAUCUGAGAGGACGAUCAGCCACACUGGCACUGAAAUACGGGCCAGACUCCUACGGGAGGCAG
rnacentral:rRNA from 1 species